rnacentral:lncRNA from 1 species
CCCAGCAGGUGGGCAGUGGGGGGACCCUUUGGGCAGGGUCUCUGGGGACAGGGACCCCUCAAUCUCGACAGCCCACCCAUCCAGACGGCUGCCUUCUGCGUGCUCCUCAGACAUAGCCGCCCUGCCCUUCGGUAACGGUAACGGGGGAGCUGCCCAGAAACCACAGAGCGUAAUCAUAGCUGCAGGGCCCUUGAAAAAUGGCUGAGAAGGGCCGGCUCAACUCGCAGGUGUAGGAGGAAACGCAGACUCUUGGCCUCGGAAGGCCUGUUCCUGCUAGGUUCCCUGGCCUCCUGUCCAAGGUGUCACCGGCUCACCAUCCCGUGGCCCCACCUUGUUUGAUUUUGAUGGUACGUGUCACCCCUGAAAUGACGGUGCUUCUGGUGUUUACAGUUGAGUGUUGUCUCCUCGCAACUGAGAGGUGAGAUCUUUGCUCUAGCGCCACUCCAAGCCUCCGAGCCCUGCUAGGGCGGCAGUAAGGAGGUCACAGCGCCACCUGCUGUUGGUGACAGCACACCCUCAGGCUCCCCUCACACCCACAAACUGGGGGCAGAGUCCCCGAGACCUCCGCAGACACCAACUGUGCCCCCUAUCCCCGUGGGCACCUGGGUACCUGACCUUCGGAGGGGGAGGGAGAAUCACUCCAACGCCCCUUGUUGUGGGUUGAACUGUGUCCCCAAGAAGCUAUGCUGAAGUCCUAACCCAGCACCUGUGCAUAAACCUUACUUGGAAAGAGGGUCUUUGCCUAUGUCAUCAAGUUAAGAUGAGGGCACGCCGGAUCUGGGUGGGCCCUAAUCAAACGACCGGUGUCCUUACACAAGCAGGGGAUAACCGGAUACAGACACGCGGAGAAGGCCGUGUGAAAUGGACGCAGGGUUCGGAGCAAUGCAUCCCUGAGUCGAGGAACACUACAGCUUGCUGGAGCCACCAGAAGCUGGAAGAGGUAGGAAGGAUCCCCUCCUAGAGCUUUCAGACAGAGCACGGAACUGCCGACUCAAAGUCCUGCUGAUUCUGGACUUCUGG